rnacentral:rRNA from 1 species
UAAUACGGAGGGUGCAAGCGUUAUCCGGAAUCAUUGGGUUUAAAGGGUCCGCAGGCGGAAAUAUAAGUCAGUGGUGAAAGCCUACAGCUCAACUGUAGAACUGCCAUUGAUACUGUAUUUCUUGAAUCUGGUCGAAGUGGGCGGAAUAUGACAUGUAGCGGUGAAAUGCUUAGAUAUGUCAUAGAACACCGAUAGCGAAGGCAGCUCACUAGGUCAGUAUUGACGCUCAUGGACGAAAGCGUGGGGAGCAAACAGGAUUAGAUACCCUGGUAGUCCACGCCGUAAACUAUGAUUACUCGUUUUCGGCGAUAUACAGUCGGAGACUAAGCGAAAGUGAUAAGUAAUCCACCUGGGGAGUACGAUCGCAAGGUUG